GUUGUAUGGUUAAGUGACUAAGCGUACAUGGUGGAUGCCUUGGCAGUCAGAGGCGAUGAAGGACGUACUAACCUGCGAUAAGCCGUGAGCAGUCGGUAAGAGACAUUACGACUCACGGAUUUCCGAAUGGGGAAACCCACUUAGCAUAAGCUAGGUAUCGCUGCGUGAAUACAUAGCGUAGCGAGGCGAACCGGGAGAACUGAAACAUCUAAGUACCCCGAGGAAAAGAAAUCAACCGAGAUUCCCUCAGUAGCGGCGAGCGAACGGGGAUUAGCCCUUAAGCAUCUUGGAAGUUAGUGGAACGGUCCUGGAAAGGCCGGCGAUACAGGGUGAUAGCCCCGUACACGAAAACAACCUUGAUGUGAAAUCGAGUAGGGCGGGACACGUGACAUCCUGUCUGAAUAUGGGGGGACCAUCCUCCAAGGCUAAAUACUCCUGACUGACCGAUAGUGAACCAGUACCGUGAGGGAAAGGCGAAAAGAACCCCUGUGAGGGGAGUGAAAUAGAACCUGAAACCGUGUACGUACAAGCAGUGGGAGCCCUUCGGGGUGACUGCGUACCUUUUGUAUAAUGGGUCAGCGACUUACAUUUUGUAGCGAGGUUAACCGUAUAGGGGAGCCGUAGGGAAACCGAGUCUUAACUGGGCGUCUAGUUGCAAGGUGUAGACCCGAAACCGGGUGAUCUAGCCAUGGGCAGGUUGAAGGUUGAGUAACAUCAACUGGAGGACCGAACCCACUAACGUUGCAAAGUUAGGGGAUGACCUGUGGCUGGGGGUGAAAGGCCAAUCAAACUCGGAGAUAGCUGGUUCUCCCCGAAAGCUAUUUAGGUAGCGCCUCGGACGAAUACUACUGGGGGUAGAGCACUGUUUGGGCUAGGGGGUCAUCCCGACUUACCAACCCCAUGCAAACUCCGAAUACCAGUAAGUACUAUCCGGGAGACACACGGCGGGUGCUAACGUCCGUCGUGAAGAGGGAAACAACCCAGACCGCCGGCUAAGGUCCCAAAGUUCUGGUUAAGUGGGAAACGAUGUGGGAAGGCUCAGACAGCUAGGAUGUUGGCUUAGAAGCAGCCAUCAUUUAAAGAAAGCGUAAUAGCUCACUAGUCGAGUCGGCCUGCGCGGAAGAUGUAACGGGGCUCAAACCAGGCACCGAAGCCGCGGAUUCACGCUAAGCGUGAGUGGUAGGGGAGCGUUCUGUAAGUCUGCGAAGGUGUAUCGAGAGGUAUGCUGGAGAUAUCAGAAGUGCGAAUGCUGACGUAAGUAACGAUAA
rnacentral:rRNA from 1 species